rnacentral:rRNA from 1 species
UGGGGAAUAUUGCGCAAUGGGGGAAACCCUGACGCAGCAACGCCGCGUGAAUGAUGAAGGCCUUAGGGUUGUAAAGUUCUGUUUUCUGGGACGAUAAUGACGGUACCAGAGGAGGAAGCCACGGCUAACUACGUGCCAGCAGCCGCGGUAAUACGUAGGUGGCGAGCGUUGUCCGGAUUUACUGGGCGUAAAGGAUGCGUAGGCGGAUGCUUAAGUCAGAUGUGAAAUACCCGAGCUUAACUUGGGUGCUGCAUUUGAAACUGGGCAUCUAGAGUGUCGGAGAGGAAAGCGGAAUUCCUAGUGUAGCGGUGAAAUGCGUAGAGAUUAGGAAGAACACCAGUGGCGAAGGCGGCUUUCUGGACGAUAACUGACGCUGAGGCAUGAAAGCGUGGGGAGCAAACAGGAUUAGAUACCCUGGUAGU